AUGACCAUUGCUGCUGCUCUCCUCCCAGUUUCACACUUCCUCCUCCAUGGCAUAACGGUACCAGCAUCAUCGGCACCACCCACCCCUUGCACGAGACCCACGAAACCCUCGACUGCAGUAAGAGGAAGUGGUCUUCCGAAGGCAGCCGAGUUUGUGAUAUCGAAGGUGGACGACCUCAUGAACUACGUGCGACGGGGGUCCAUAUGGCCCAUGAAAUUUGGGCUCGCCUGCUGAGCUGUGGAGAUGAUGCAUGCUGGCGCUACUCGAUAUGACUUUGAUCGCUUCCGUGUCAUCUUCCGACCCAGCCCUCGCCAGUCCGACUGCAUGAUCGUUGCCGGGACCCUCACCAACCAGAUGGCCCCUGCCCUCCACAAGGUUUAUGACCAAAUGCCAGAGCCUCGUUGGGUCAUUUCAAUGGGCAGCUGUGCCAAUGGUGGAGGUUAUUAUCACUAUUCCUACUCUGUGGUGCAUGUCUGUGACCGAAUCGUCCCUGUUGACAUAUAUGUUCCCGGGUGCCCCCCAAGAGCUGAGGCUCCUCUCUAUGGAGUCCUCCUAUUGCAGAAGAAGAUUAACCGUCGCAAGGACUUCCUCUUAUGGUGGACCGAGUGAAAUAUCAGCCUACUCCAUUACAUCAGACAUGAGUCGCGCAUGUCCCUCAAAGCUUGCAUCUCAUGGAAAAGACUAAAUAAGUUGGCACACGGAUGCAUCCGUAGCUGUAGAGGUAAGGAGAAGGGUUGAGAACUUUGUUAUGGAAUUCAAAGUGGAUAGGUGAGUCUCUCUGAAACUCAAUUCCCAGACUUGUAUCAAGGAGGCGUCGUGCUUGAUGCAGUGGCUAAGGAAGUGGUCACUGGUGAAGGUAAGGAGGCUCUCAGGCUAAGAAACCGAAGGGUUAAUGAUCUAGCUGCUAGUCAAUUUUAGGAAUUGGUGUAGAUCCUCAAUAUAUGCUCUGAAUGACCAAAUGAGCAUGGAGGGAGAUAAGCACGGAGGGGGCGUUCACAGUCAAGUCACUUUAUCAGAAAAUUGCGAUGGAGAAACAGAUUUGUGUGGUUCCAAAUGCUAGAAAAGCAUCAUUUUUUAGCACAAGCAUUUAUAUUCCUUGCAAUGUGGAAUAGAGCUCCCAUUGUAGACCACCUACGUAAGAGGGGGAUGGUAAUCACAAAUAUUUGUUUGCUAAGCAAACAAGAUAGAGAAACUUAUGUGCACACUUUCAGCCAUUGCCCUUUGGCUAAUUCUCUUUAGAGUUGGUUUCUUAGUACUCUUGACUAUAGCUGGGUUAUACCCUCAUCAGUCCAGCACCUAUUGCGGCAAUUUGCAUCGCUGCCGCUUCGAAAAGAUGGUAUCAAGUCGUGGAGGAUAUCAAUGGCAGCAAUUAUUUGUCAGGUAUUGAAAGAGAGGAGUAAAAGAACCCCUGAAGAUACUGUGGAGACAGGAAUUUAGAUGUCUUCCAAAGUUUGAUUUUGUUGUGAACCUAAAGCAGGUAGCUCUGCCAAGGAAAAAGGUCCUAAAGCCAAGAUACUGGUUACCCCCUCCAGAAGGAUGAUUCAAACACAACUUUCUUUGUAGUGCAAUUAGAAACCCAUGGAAUUCAGAGGGUAACAUAUUGUUUUCAUUCUCAGCCUGUGCCGGACUUCCUGUGUGAAUUAAGCAUUACUUUUUGAUGUGAAAUAGGGAGGUUGUCUCUCCUACCUAGUCACGAGAAAGAUUCGACAAAUGUGAUGGCUUGGCGAAAUUCGUCAAAAAGAAUCCUGUGGAACUGGAGAUGCAUCACGGAUGAAACGAAAAACGGCCUACACAGAAAAGAAUUUCAGAUUGUGUAUGGCAAUUGGGAUAGAAAUCAGGAUGCAGAUGCCUGACAGGAGUGAACAAAGACAUGAUUGACUGAAGCGUGGCAAAUUGCAGUGAAGAACCGCUGGUAGGCGAAUGAAGAUGCAUAUCAAGGAACUUAUCGGUUUUUUUUUACCUUUUUUUUUUUUGGUGUUGUAAUUGUAAUUUUGCUGUUUUUGGUUUCUUUUGAAAAAGUAUACAAAUAGACCAUUUACUUGUAGUACAAGGAUCAUAAUCACUCUUGUUUGGCAGAAUUUAAAUUGGGUUGUUCUAA